rnacentral:lncRNA from 1 species
AAAGACCAGUGGGACCCAUUCUACGUUCGCUGGCACUAUGUAAGAGAAAGACCAGGACCCAUUCUACGUUCUGGCACUUUGGAAUGUUAUGUUAUGCUAUGUAAGGGAAAGACCAGGACCCAUUCUACGUUCUGGCACUAUUGGAUAUGUAGAGGACUAUUGGUGACAAGUUCAUCCUUGAUGUGAUAUGGUUGUGAUGUGAUGCAUUCCAUG